rnacentral:rRNA from 1 species
UGCCCUAAUACAUGCAAGUCGAGCGAACAGACGAGGAGCUUGCUCCUCUGACGUUAGCGGCGGACGGGUGAGUAACACGUGGAUAACCUACCUAUAAGACUGGGAUAACUUCGGGAAACCGGAGCUAAUACCGGAUAAUAUAUUGAACCGCAUGGUUCAAUAGUGAAAGACGGUUUUGCUGUCACUUAUAGAUGGAUCCGCGCCGCAUUAGCUAGUUGGUAAGGUAACGGCUUACCAAGGCAACGAUGCGUAGCCGACCUGAGAGGGUGAUCGGCCACACUGGAACUGAGACACGGUCCAGACUCCUACGGGAGGCAACAGUAGGGAAUCUUCCGCAAUGGGCGAAAGCCUGACGGAGCAACGCCGCGUGAGUGAUGAAGGUCUUCGGAUCGUAAAGCUCUGUUAUGAGGGAAGAACAAGUGUGU